GAUGAACGCUAGCGGCAGGCUUAACACAUGCAAGUCGAGGGGUAUUGGUUUUCGGACCAAGAGACCGGCGCACGGGUGCGUAACGCGUAUGCAAUCUACCUUUUGCAGAGGAAUAGCCCCAGAGAAAUUUGGAUUAAUACCUCAUAGUAUAGUACUUUGGCAUCAAGGAACUAUUAAAGUCACAACGGCAAAGAUGAGCAUGCGUCCCAUUAGCUAGUUGGUAAGGUAACGGCUUACCAAGGCUACGAUGGGUAGGGGUCCUGAGAGGGAGAUCCCCCACACUGGUACUGAGACACGGACCAGACUCCUACGGGAGGCAGCAGUGAGGAAUAUUGGACAAUGGGCGCAAGCCUGAUCCAGCCACUGCCGCGUGCAGGAUGACGGUCCUAUGGGAUUGUAAACUGCUUUUAUUACAGGAGAAACACUCCGACGUGUCGGAGCUUGACGGUACUGUAAGAAUAAGGAUCGGCUAACUCCGUGCCAGC
rnacentral:rRNA from 1 species